UACGUAGGUGGCGAGCGUUGUCCGGAUUUACUGGGCGUAAAGGGAGCGUAGGCGGACUUUUAAGUGAGAUGUGAAAUACCAGGGCUCAACUUGGGUGCUGCAUUUCAAACUGGAAGUCUAGAGUGCAGGAGAGGAGAAUGGAAUUCCUAGUGUAGCGGUGAAAUGCGUAGGGAUUAGGAAGAACACCAGUGGCGAAGGCGAUUCUCUGGACUGUAACUGACGCUGAGGCUCGAAAGCGUGGGGAGCAAACAGGAUUAGAUACCCCGGUAGU
rnacentral:rRNA from 1 species